UGGGGAAUCUUGGACAAUGGGGGAAACCCUGAUCCAGCCAUGCCGCGUGAUCGAUGAAGGCCUUAGGGUUGUAAAGAUCUUUCAGCUGGGAAGAUAAUGACUGUACCAGCAGAAGAAGCCCCGGCUAACUCCGUGCCAGCAGCCGCGGUAAUACGGAGGGGGCUAGCGUUGUUCGGAAUUACUGGGCGUAAAGCGCACGUAGGCGGAUCAGUCAGUCAGGGGUGAAAUCCCGGGGCUCAACCCCGGAACUGCCUUUGAUACUGCUGGUCUUGAGGUCGAGAGAGGUGAGUGGAAUUCCGCGUGUAGAGGUGAAAUUCGUAGAUAUUCGGAGGAACACCAGUGGCGAAGGCGGCUCACUGGCUCGAUACUGACGCUGUGGUGCGAAAGCGUGGGGAGCAAACAGG
rnacentral:rRNA from 1 species